rnacentral:rRNA from 1 species
UUAUACAUGCAAGUCGACGGCAGCACGGGGCAACCCUGGUGGCGAGUGNCGAACGGGUGAGUAAUACAUCGGAACGUGUCCUGUAGUGGGGGAUAGCCCGGCGAAAGCCNGGAUUAAUACCGCAUACGCUCUGCGGAGAAAGCGGGGGAUCCUUCGGGACCUCGCGCUACAGGGGCGGGCCGAUGCAGAUUAGCUAGUUGGUGGGGUAAAGGCCUACCAAGGCGACGAUCUGUAGCUGGUCUGAGAGGACGACCAGCCACACUGGGACUGAGACACGGCCCAGACUCCUACGGGAGGCAGCAGUGGGGAAUUUUGGACAAUGGGCGCAAGCCUGAUCCAGCAAUGCCGCGUGUGUGAAGAAGGCUUCGGGUUGUAAAGCACUUUUGUCCGGAAAGAAAACCUCGUGGUU